rnacentral:rRNA from 1 species
AUUGAACGCUGGCGGCAUGCCUUACACAUGCAAGUCGAACGGUAACGCGGGGGCAACCCUGGCGAAGAGUGGCGAACGGGUGAGUAAUACAUCGGAACGUACCUGGUAGUGGGGGAUAGCCCGGCGAAAGCCGGCUUACUACCGCAUACGCACCACGGUGGAAAGCGGGGGACCGCAAGUCCUCGCGCUAUCAGAGCGGCGGAUGGCAGAUUAGCUAGUUGGUGGGGUAAAAGCCUACCAAGGCGACGAUCUGUAGCUGGUCUGAGAGGACGACCAGCCACACUGGGACUGAGACACGGCCCAGACUCCUACGGGAGGCAGCAGUGGGGAAUUUUGGACAAUGGGGGAAACCCUGAUCCAGCGAUGCCGCGUGUGUGAAGAAGGCCUUCGGGUUGUAAAGCACUUUUGUUCGGGAAGAAAUCUGUCGGGCUAAUACCCUGGCGGGAUGACGGUACCGGAAGAAUAAGCACCGGCUAACUACGUGCCAGCCGCCGCGGUAA